UUACGGCCAAAUCGCGUGGAAACAGCGGUUCCCGUAAGGUCAUCGAAGUUAAGCAACAUCGAGCCUGUUCAGUACCCAAGUGGGUGACCGCAUGAAAAUUCCAGCU